UACGUAGGGUGCGAGCGUUGUCCGGAAUUAUUGGGCGUAAAGAGCUUGUAGGCGGUUUGUCGCGCCUGCUGUGAAAUCUCAAGGCUCAACCUUGAGCUUGCAGUGGGUACGGGCAGACUAGAGUGUGGUAGGGGAGACUGGAAUUCCUGGUGUAGCGGUGAAAUGCGCAGAUAUCAGGAGGAACACCGGUGGCGAAGGCGGUUCUCUGGG
rnacentral:rRNA from 1 species